rnacentral:rRNA from 1 species
GUGCUAAGGUAGCAUAAUCAUUUGUUUCUUAAUUGGUAACUGGAAUGAACGGUUGAACUGGCUUAGGGGGUGUGUAAGUCUAAACAGAAAAUUAAAGUCGGGGUAAGAAUUCUUCGAUAGUUUAGGGGACGAUAAGACCCUAUAAGCUUGACAAAAAUAGAAAUGACUUUGUGUUUCAAGUUAGUUUGUUUUACUGGGGCGGUACUGGUAUUUUAACUAUUAGGUGAGCUAGGAUCCUUUAUAUAUAGAUGAAAUGGGGAAGUUACUUUAGGGAUAACAGUGCAAUAUUUUUGGAGAGAUCUUAUCGAUAGGUAUGUUUGCAACCUCGAUGUUGAAUUA